GGGUUGUGAGGUUAAGCGACUAAGCGUACACGGUGGAUGCCCUGGCAGUCAGAGGCGAUGAAGGACGUGCUAAUCUGCGAUAAGCGUCGGUAAGGUGAUAUGAACCGUUAUAACCGGCGAUUUCCGAAUGGGGAAACCCAGUGUGAUUCGUCACACUAUCGUUAACUGAAUACAUAGGUUAACGAAGCGAACCGGGGGAACUGAAACAUCUAAGUACCCCGAGGAAAAGAAAUCAACCGAGAUUCCCCCAGUAGCGGCGAGCGAACGGGGAGGAGCCCAGAGCCUGAAUCAGCAUGUGUGUUAGUGGAAGCGUCUGGAAAGGCGCGCGAUACAGGGUGACAGCCCCGUACACAAAAGCGCAUGUGCUGUGAGCUCGAUGAGUAGGGCGGGACACGUGGUAUCCUGUCUGAAUAUGGGGGGACCAUCCUCCAAGGCUAAAUACUCCUGACUGACCGAUAGUGAACCAGUACCGUGAGGGAAAGGCGAAAAGAACCCCGGCGAGGGGAGUGAAAAAGAACCUGAAACCGUGUACGUACAAGCAGUGGGAGCCCCACCACCAAAGCAUUCUCUGGUGUUGAAGGCCCUGCAAAGCAGCAUCGCGGUGGCGGAGCGUCGUUUGCGACGCCCAACACACAAAACAAGCGGUGAGUGCUUUGGGGUGGGGUGACUGCGUACCUUUUGUAUAAUGGGUCAGCGACUUAUAUUCUGUAGCAAGGUUAACCGUAUAGGGGAGCCGUAGGGAAACCGAGUCUUAACCGGGCGUUAAGUUGCAGGGUAUAGACCCGAAACCCGGUGAUCUAGCCAUGGGCAGGUUGAAGGUUGGGUAACACUAACUGGAGGACCGAACCGACUAAUGUUGAAAAAUUAGCGGAUGACCUGUGGCUGGGGGUGAAAGGCCAAUCAAACCGGGAGAUAGCUGGUUCUCCCCGAAAGCUAUUUAGGUAGCGCCUCGUGAACUCAUCUUCGGGGGUAGAGCACUGUUUCGGCUAGGGGGUCAUCCCGACUUACCAACCCGAUGCAAACUGCGAAUACCGAAGAAUGUUAUCACGGGAGACACACGGCGGGUGCUAACGUCCGUCGUGAAGAGGGAAACAACCCAGACCGCCAGCUAAGGUCCCAAAGUCACAGUUAAGUGGGAAACGAUGUGGGAAGGCUCAGACAGCCAGGAUGUUGGCUUAGAAGCAGCCAUCAUUUAAAGAAAGCGUAAUAGCUCACUGGUCGAGUCGGCCUGCGCGGAAGAUGUAACGGGGCUAAACUGUGCACCGAAGCUGCGGCAGCGACG
rnacentral:rRNA from 1 species